rnacentral:tRNA from 1 species
GCCUGGGUGGCUCAGUCGGUUAAGCAUCUGACUUCAGCUCAGGUCAUGAUCUCACGGUCGUGAGUUCGAGCCCCGUGUCGGGCU